GACGAACGCUGGCGGCGUGCCUAAUACAUGCAAGUCGAGCGCUUCUUUCCUCCCGAGUGCUUGCACUCCAUUGGAAAGAGGAGUGGCGGACGGGUGAGUAACACGUGGGUAACCUACCCAUCAGAGGGGGAUAACACUUGGAAACAGGUGCUAAUACCGCAUAACAGUUUAUGCCGCAUGGCAUAAGAGUGAAAGGCGCUUUCGGGUGUCGCUGAUGGAUGGACCCGCGGUGCAUUAGCUAGUUGGUGAGGUAACGGCUCACCAAGGCCACGAUGCAUAGCCGACCUGAGAGGGUGAUCGGCCACACUGGGACUGAGACACGGCCCAGACUCCUACGGGAGGCAGCAGUAGGGAAUCUUCGGCAAUGGACGAAAGUCUGACCGAGCAACGCCGCGUGAGUGAAGAAGGUUUUCGGAUCGUAAAACUCUGUUGUUAGAGAAGAACAAGGACGUUAGUAACUGAACGUCCCCUGACGGUAUCUAACCAGAAAGCCACGGCUAACUACGUG
rnacentral:rRNA from 1 species